rnacentral:rRNA from 1 species
UAGUACGGCGAGUGAGCGGGAAGAAGCUCAAAUUUUGAAAUCCUGGUGGCCUCAGGUCAUCCGAGUUGUAAUCUAUAGAAGUGUUUUCCGUGCUGGCUCAUGUACAAGUCCCUUUGGAACAGGGCGUCAUAGAGGGUGAGAAUCCCGUCCUUGACAUGAACUACCAGUGCUCUGUGAUACAUUUUCAACGAGUCGAGUUGUUUGGGAAUGCAGCUCAAAAUGGGUGGUAAAUUCCAUCUAAAGCUAAAUAUUGGCGAGAGACCGAUAGCGAACAAGUACCGUGAGGGAAAGAUGAAAAGCACUUUGGAAAGAGAGUUAAACAGUAUGUGAAAUUGUUGAAAGGGAAACGAUUGAAGUCAGUCGUGCUCUUUGGAUUCAGCCGGUUCUGCCGGUGUACUUCCUUUGAGUGGGGUCAACAUCAGUUUUGAUCGCUGGAUAAAGGCUGGAGGAACGUAGUACCCUCGGGUAAACUUAUAGCCUCCUGUCACAUACAGUGGUUGGGACUGAGGAACGCAGCACGCCUUUAUGGCCGGGAUUCGUCCACGUACGUGCUUAGGAUGUUGACAUAAUGGCUUUAAACGACCCGUCUU